AUUGAACGCUGGCGGAAUGCUUUACACAUGCAAGUCGAGCGGCAGCGCGGGGCAACCUGGCGGCGAGCGGCGAACGGGUGAGUAAUGCAUCGGAACAUGUCCAUGUCGUGGGGGAUAGCCCGGCGAAAGCCGGAUUAAUACCGCAUACGCCCGAGAGGGGAAAGGUGGGGACCGCAAGGCCUCACGCGAUUGGGUUGGCCGAUGUCCGAUUAGCUAGUUGGCGGGGUAAGAGCCCACCAAGGCGAUGAUCGGUAGCUGGUCUGAGAGGAUGAUCAGCCACACUGGGACUGAGACACGGCCCAGACUCCUACGGGAGGCAGCAGUGGGGAAUUUUGGACAAUGGGGGCAACCCUGAUCCAGCCAUUCCGCGUGAGUGAAGAAGGCCUCGG
rnacentral:rRNA from 1 species